GAUGAACGCUAGCGGCAGGCCUAACACAUGCAAGUCGAGGGAUAAGCCUUCUGGCUAAGACCGGCGCACGGGUGCGUAACUCGUAUACAAUCUGCCUUUUAUCCGGUGGAUAGCCCGAAGAAAUUUGGAUUAAUACCCUAUGGUAUAAGAGCACGGCAUAGUUCACUUAUUAAAGCUACGGCGGUAAAAGAUGAGUAUGCGUUCUAUUAGCUAGUUGGAGAGUUAACGGCUCCCCAAGGCGACGAUAGAUCGGGGUUCUGAGAGUGAUGUCUGCCACACUGGUACUGAGAUACGGACCAGACUCCUACGGGAGGAAGCAGUGAGGAAUAUUGAACGAUGGUCGGAAGACUGAUACAGCCAUGCCGCGUGCAGGAUGACGGCCUUAUGGGUUGUAAACUGCUUUUGUAAGGGAAGAAUAAGGAGUACGGGUACUUUGAUGACGGUACCUUACGAAUAAGCUUCGGCUAACUCCGGG
rnacentral:rRNA from 1 species